rnacentral:rRNA from 2 species
CGGUGGCGGCGGCCUAUACAUGCAAGUCGAACGCAAUCUUUGACUACUGAGUGCUUGCACUCAGCAGUUAAAGUGCGAGUGGCGAACGGGUGAGUAACACGUGGGCAAUCUGCCCAAAAGUGGGGGAUAACACUUGGAAACAGGUGCUAAUACCGCAUCAACCGGCUGACCGCAUGGUCGGCCGGGCAAAGACGGCGUCAGCUGUCGCUUUUGGAUGAGCCCGCGGCGUAUUAACUAGUUGGUAAGGUAACGGCUUACCAAGGUGAUGAUACGUAGCCGAACUGAGAGGUUGAUCGGCCACAUUGGGACUGAGACACGGCCCAAACUCCUACGGGAGGCAGCAGUAGGGAAUCUUCCACAAUGGACGCAAGUCUGAUGGAGCAACGCCGCGUGUAUGAAGAAGGUCUUCGGAUCGUAAAAUACUGUUGUCAGAGAAGAACACGUGAUAGAGUAACUGCUAUGGCGCUGACGGUAUCUGACCAGCAAGUCACGGCUAACUACGUGCCAGCAGCCGCGGUAAUACGUAGGUGGCAAGCGUUGUCCGGAUUUAUUGGGCGUAAAGGGAACGCAGGCGGUCUUUUAAGUCUGAUGUGAAAGCCUUCGGCUUAACCGGAGAAGUGCUUUGGAAACUGGAAGACUUGAGUGCAGAA